rnacentral:sRNA from 1 species
CUUUGGGUACAGACAGGAGAACAACAGAGGAUAAGGGAAUUGACCGGGCUGGUGACAGUAUCUGGGAAGGUAUGCCUGGCUUUAGCACCUCUAAGAAGCUGGACAAGCUGGGGAUGAGGGGCUCUAACACCUGUGAGCUAAUCUUUGAAGACUGCAAGAUUCCUGCUGCCAACAUCCUGGGCCAUGAGAAUAAGGGUGUCUACGUGCUGAUGAGUGGGCUGGACCUGGAGCGGCUGGUGCUGGCCGGGGGGCCUCUUGGGCUCAUGCAAGCGGUCCUGGACCACACCAUUCCCUACCUGCACGUGAGGGAAGCCUUUGGCCAGAAGAUCGGCCACUUCCAGUUGAUGCAGGGGAAGAUGGCUGACAUGUACACCCGCCUCAUGGCGUGUCGGCAGUAUGUCUACAAUGUCGCCAAGGCCUGCGAUGAGGGCCAUUGCACUGCUAAGGACUGUGCAGGUGUGAUUCUUUACUCAGCUGAGUGUGCCACACAGGUAGCCCUGGACGGCAUUCAGUGUUUUGGUGGCAAUGGCUACAUCAAUGACUUUCCCAUGGGCCGCUUUCUUCG